ACCCUGGACGGGGGAUCACUCGGCUCGUCCGUCGAUGAAGAGCGCGGCUAUCCGCGUGAACUGAUGCGAAUUGCAGGACUCAGUGAACAUCGACACCUCGAACGCACAUUGCGGCCCCGGGAUCCCAUAGUCCCGGGGCCCCGUCCGGUCGAGAGGCGGUCACGACACUAAUACGAUGUCCGUCGUCGCCGUUGGCGGUGGCGGGGAGACGGGAGUCGCAGGAAAGGAACGCCGAAUGGCGGCUACGCCGUAAAAAAGCUAGCCGUUUGCCCGCUUAACCACGGCGCUCGCUCAAUCCUCCGUCUCCCGUAAUGCUAGACUAUAACCGUUGCGGAACGUUACGAUUUGUACGACGAUUGUUGCUGCUGCUUCGCUGUGCUGCCCGCCCGCCGCUUCCGUUGGGGGUAAAGAAAAUCUGCCCGCCGUUGUUGCCGCUAUCUUCCUCGUAAUCGUCGUCGUCGUCGGUCGGCGUUCGCUCUGUGAAUCGACUUUCGAGCGUUCGUGCCCACCGCCGCCGCCGCGACAUCAGAUUUGCUGCACGACAUGUCGUCUUCUAAACCCUCUAAACGUUUGCUCGGUAGCCGCUGCUAUAUCGCCGUCUUCGUUUUGUGUCUAAUUCCAUGCUGCCCUCGACUCGGACGAGACUACCCGCCGAACUUAAGCAUAUCGCUAAGCGGAGGAAAAGAAACCAACCGGGAUUCCCUUAGUAACGGCGAGUGAACCGGGAGAAGCCCAACGCCGAAUCUCGUCGGCCGCGUCGGUCGUCGAGAGCUGUGGCGCAAGGGUCGUACACGGUCGUUCGUUUCGCCCGGCUAGGUUCGGAGUCCCCUCGAUCGGGGCUGCCCAAAGCGGGUGCCAGGCCCAUUCGGAGCCGGCGGCGAUCGGCGGUGUUCUUCGGCCCGAGAGUCGGGUUGCUUGGGAACGCAGCCCAAAGCGGGUGGUAAGCUCCAUCCAAGGCUAAAUACGGGGACGAGUCCGAUAGCCGACAAGUACCGCGAGGGAAAGUUGAAAAGAACUUUGGAGAGAGAGUUCAAGAGACCGUGAAACCGCCCAGGGGUAAACGGGUAGGACCGCUCACCGCGAUCGCGAGGGGACUCAGUCCGCUGCUUCACGCCAUGGCGCCGUCUUCGCCGACGACAGCGCCGGUGGCGGCCGUUCGUUUUUGCGGGUGGUCGUCUGCCGCCUCGUCGGCGUUCGAUUUCCGGGGUGCCGGCAUCGGACGCACUUCCCCUCCGAUCCGUCGUCGCGACCCGUUCUCGUCGGGCCGGUAGGCGCGCGGCGUCCGCAGGUCGCAGGGUAGCACCCCGUUCGUUCGCAGCAACGCAAGUUGUUGUAUUGCGUCGGGAUCCACGCGCUUCUCUCGACCGGGCCCGUCGCUCCACGUAAGCGCAGGCACGGCUAACCGACGGGGACGGGCUAACGCACCUCGCCCUCAGUAAGCACGACGCAGCGAGUCGCAUUAUUUAUUAUUGCGACGCGGCCGCCUACGUGCAGCCGUUCAAUUCUUUUAUAGGUUUUGGGCGGUCGCCGUGGGAACGCCCGAAAAGCCGCCCGCUGCUGCCGGUCAGCGACGAGCAUCGGCAACCUACCCGACCCGUCUUGAAACACGGACCGAGGAGUCCCAGUCGACUGCGAGUCGUUGGAGCCUUUCACUUCGCGAACUCCGACGGCACAGCGAAAGCGAGAACGUGACACGUCGUCGCGGCGUGGUUGGACUUCGCCGCUUAGAUUCGUUUGAACGGCGUUGCCUUUCCAUAUUCGUGGCGUCUCGAAGCAUCGUUCCCGGGUCGGGUCCGCGCGUUCGUUUUUCAUAUCCAUGAUUUACGUUCACGCUCCGACUCAGGUGUAGCAGGCGGCCGGGGACCCGAAAGAUGGCGAUCCACGCCCGGUCGGGACGAAGCCAGAGGAAACUCUGGUGGAAGUCCGAAGCGCCUCUGACGUGCAAAUCGAUCGUCGGAACCGGGUGUAGGGGCGAAAGACCAAUCGAGCCGUCUAGUAGCUGGUUCCCUCCGAAGUUUCCCUCAGGAUAGCUGGCGCCAGCGGGUGAACGACACGCAAUUCCGUCCGGUAAAGCGAACGACUGGAGGCCCCGGGGACGUUGACGGCCUCGAUCUACUCUCGAACUCGGAACGGGCGAAACGGGCCGCUUCUCUCCCGAUCGGAGGCGGCCGUAAAUCGAAUCGCAGCAAUUGCGGCGACUUUGAACGCGACGAAUGCACGGUGCCAAGUGGGCCACUUUUGGUAAGCAGAACUGGUGAUGUGGGAUGAACCGAACGUCCGGCUAAGGUGCCCUACGCUUCGCCCAUUAGAUCCCCGAAAGGGUGUCGGUCGAUAUAGACAGCAGGACGGUGGCCACGGAAGUCGGAAUCCGCUCAGGAGUGUGUAACAACUUACCUGCCGAAUCGACCGGCCCCGAAAAUGGAUGGCGCUGGAGCGAGCGACCGAUGCCGGACCGGCCGGGCGACAGGUUGCGCGAUCGCCGGCGAGGCGACUUUCCGAU
rnacentral:rRNA from 1 species